AUGGAGAAGGCAAACCCCCCAGACCCAGGGGCACCUAGUGAGGCCUCCUGGAGUUAUAACAAGCCUGGCCCCUUUAACCAAUCUGAUUGUCUGCAGUACAUUGGAAGGGGCAGUCUGCAUCAUUGCCAUCAUGAUUUCUUGAACACCUACUUUGUGCACAAGCCAUAUCCUGGGAGGAUGGAGACCCUAAAAGGCACCCAGGCUGCAAGGCCCAAGUUGUGCAUCAUCGAUACAAUCAUCUCUGCUACGCACUGCGAGCCCACUGUGUGCCUGCCCUGCCUGCUCGUCACUCUGACCCUCACAGCAACUGUACAGGCAUUCCAGAAAGGGAAGCCGGUGGUACAAGUUGAAGACAGCAGAGAAGGACUUUCCAGAGAGGGGAAUUUAGGAUUGGUUUUUGGAGAAUGCACCAACAGGGUAAGGAAAACUUGUGAGGUGAGAGGAAUUCAACCUAGUCCAAUAAAUAAACUAGUGGCUGGCACACUGUUUCCACACCCCCACCCCCUGUUGAGUGAAUCCCAUUUGAGAUGCUUGUCCAUCAUCUGUGGGUGGAGGGCAAAGUGAAGCCAGAAAUGGAGUGAGGAGCCCCCUUGAUAACCAUGAACAAUGAGACUGGAGGUGCAAGAAAAGGCUCUGCCCUGGCUUUCUCUCCUCCUCUCUCCCUCCUGCAGCUGGCAAGUGGUACUUGGCCCUGCAGUGAGUUCAGCCAAGUGUGGUGUUCCCCUGCAGAUGUGAAAAAAGGUGGGAAAUGCCUGGAUUGAGUGUCCAGAUGGUGCAAUGCCUGUGGGGCAAGGGGAGGAGCAGGUGGAGGCUAGCGUCAUCCCUAUCCUGGGCACUUGUAUCCAGGGAGGACAUCAAAAGAGCCUCAGUGUCCACCAAGGAAGCCAUUUACAACCAAACAACCAGCACAAGUCCCCAGAGGAUCUGUGCAUAAGUUGACACCCCAAGAGGUCUGGAGGGCGAUCCAGGAAAAAAAUAGGAGCCUUCCCAGCCUUGCCACAUCUGGGAGAUCCGUUGCUCUUACAGGGGAGCUGCCUCAUCCAGGGGGGUGAAGAUGGGCCCUCCACCCUGAGAGGGCCAGUAGGAGAAGGUGGGGGACUGUGCCUUUAGAAAAGCCAUGUCAUUUCAUCCUCGUGCUACUUUGCAGGAUGGAUGCUAUUGUUAUCAACCCACUUGACAGAUGAAGAAACUGAGGGUACUGAGUUGCCCCAGAUCUCAAGAGGGUGGAGGAGGAUGGCUCCCUAGGGAGAAUGGAGUGGGGCUGAUUUUUGGUUGGUCUCAGCUUCAGAGGCAGGGAGCCCCACUGGUCUCAGUGGUGUUUGAUUUCCACCCCCAUGCCCUAGGGGGCAGCAGAGCUUCAUAACUGACCAUACUUUGCAGUGGCCCAGACCCAGGUUCAAGUGUGGCUUCUGUUACUCACCAUUGUGGGCUGCUCCUUUAACCUGGAGGCGCAGGUCUCCAUUUCCCAAGGGUCUCCGUUUCCCGUGGGUGGAU
rnacentral:lncRNA from 1 species